GACGAACCGUGCGAACGUUGUUCGGAAUCACUGGGCUUAAAGGGCGCGUAGGCGGGCCGCCAAGUCUGUGGUGAAAUCCCUCGGCUCAACCGGGGAACGGCCGCGGAUACUGGAGGUCUCGAGGGAGGUAGGGGCAUGCGGAACUACGGGUGGAGCGGUGAAAUGCGUUGAUAUCCGUAGGAACUCCGGUGGCGAAGGCGGCGUGCUGGACCUCUUCUGACGCUGAGGCGCGAAAGCCAGGGGAGCGAACGGG
rnacentral:rRNA from 1 species